rnacentral:rRNA from 1 species
UGGGGAAUUUUGGACAAUGGGCGAAAGCCUGAUCCAGCAAUGCCGCGUGUGUGAAGAAGGCCUUCGGGUUGUAAAGCACUUUUGUCCGGAAAGAAAUCCUUGGCUCUAAUACAGUCGGGGGAUGACGGUACCGGAAGAAUAAGCACCGGCUAACUACGUGCCAGCAGCCGCGGUAAUACGUAGGGUGCAAGCGUUAAUCGGAAUUACUGGGCGUAAAGCGUGCGCAGGCGGUUUGCUAAGACCGAUGUGAAAUCCCCGGGCUCAACCUGGGAACUGCAUUGGUGACUGGCAGGCUAGAGUAUGGCAGAGGGGGGUAGAAUUCCACGUGUAGCAGUGAAAUGCGUAGAGAUGUGGAGGAAUACCGAUGGCGAAGGCAGCCCCCUGGGCCAAUACUGACGCUCAUGCACGAAAGCGUGGGGAGCAAACAGGAUUAGAUACCCUGGUAGUCCACGCCCUAAACGAUGUCAACUAGUUGUUGGGGAUUCAUUUCCUUAGUAACGUAGCUAACGCGUGAAGUUGGCCGCCUGGGGAGUACGGUCGCAAGAUUAAAACUUAAAGGAAUUGACGGGGUCAUAGCUGUUUCCU